CAUAAAAAAAUUUCAAUUUGAAAUUUUUAAAGUGUAUGAAAGUUUGGAAAAGCUUUAAAAUAGUUUUGCUUCAUAAUGCUAUUAAAUCUCACGAUUUUAAAAUUUUUCCAAACCUUAAGAUCACGGACUAGAAAACUGCUGUAUAUGUGUGUGUGUGAAAAAGCUACAAUAUAUAUAUAAUUAAAGAACAAAAGAAAAAUACUACCAAAGGCUUAAUCGAAAGUUGUAAAACAUUUCUCACCAAAAACCACCUUCAUCAUACACAAUCCAGAAUUCUUCAAAUUCGUUGAUUAUUCACCAAAUCCAAAAUAAUAAACAACAACAAAGUAAAUUCAAUCUAUUAUUAAUAAUAUGGUUAAUUCAAGAGACAACAUUAUUCAUAAUUCACAAUUAAGUAAUUCCAAAUGUCAAAUUACAGCAGUGAGGCUCUUGAUUGACGAUGAAGAAGAGCAGUGAUGAAGCUCUCGGCAGUGCUAUGAUAGUGCUUUUGCCUGAGAUUGCUGAGUUAAUUGGUUGUUCUAGGUUUCGGAUUUUAUAGAUUCUGACUUUUGGGUUUUGGAUUUUAGUCUUUGUAAAUUAAGUUUUAGUUUGGAUUCAAUGUAGGAUUGAAUUUGAAUAAUGGUUGUACAGUUGUCACGUACUUGAAAGGAAAGAUUUAAAAAAUGAAGAAAAAGACAAAGAAAGAGUAAGGAAGAUGAAAAAGAAACGAAGAAGAAGA
rnacentral:lncRNA from 1 species